rnacentral:sRNA from 1 species
CUACUGUGAACUCUGCCACUUCAGGUUUGCAGUCGAGCGCAAACCCAGGCCGUUAGUGGAGGUGCAGCAGAUUUGGGGGAAGAUAAGAAAACACCCCUGUCAGGUCUUCAGGCUUUGCCUUCCUCCUCAUUCUUCAUGGAAUGUAUGUUUCUGUGGCAUGCCUCACCACUGCCCGCCUCCUUUCUUGAAGAGAUAGGAACUCUGGGAGAUUGUUUGGGAUAAAGCGAUUUCUUUGCAAUCCAUCAUUACAGAGUUAGAGGGAUAGAUUUACACUGUGAUGGAUAUGUGAGAAGAAAAAAGUUUAAUUCUUAGAUGUGCCACUUACGAAAAUGUAUAAAGAUCUGUUUGUGAAGAUUGAGGUCAGAUUACAAGAAGAAAAUGAAA